UGCAACACGCUUCGGAAAAAGGCAGUGUUAAGCGCCACAAAAAUUACUGCUUUCCCAGCAGUGCCUUGUCAUGCAAGUGAAGAAUCACUCAUUUCCCCAGCAACGCUGGCAGAGAAAUACUACUGCCCCUGCAUUAGGGGCUGUCCUGAGCAGACCCUCACUCACGAUGCCCGAGCUCCACCUCCGCUUUGAUUCUACUUCCCCAGGAGACUUCAGGAACGAGGCCUAGCAAGAAGCAAGGCUCCGAACGCGACGGCAUCUCGUAGCAAACACCUACUUAACCCUAGACGCUAUAUCUGAUGCAAAAGCACAUGGCUGGACAAACACCUGGAGCAACGCAGACCGCCGUGGGCGAUGCUGCUUCCGCCCGCUUCCCGUCGCAGAGGAGGCGGACUGACCGCCCCACACCGCCCCGGGCAGGCGCCGCGCCCGACCGCGGGCUGCUCCUCUCCCCCGGCUGGAGCCGCCCGUAAGUACUUCCUCCUUUCGGCCAGCGGCGCUGACUAAUGGAAACAAAGAGAAACAGGCUCUCAGCCACCCCAGGCGCCAGACUAUCGCCCUUUCCUGAACCGCACUUCUACACCUGGACAGGUAGCCCCUGCAUCGCUCCCUGCAGAGAGGCGAUGCGGCCCCUCCACAGUAUUCGGGGACUCUCUGUCGGCCCGCAGGCCCGCCACAGACCCACUCCUCCGCACGCAAAGAGCCGACGCUCUCUUUAGGCGUUGACCACCGGCGCUUCACCACUCUCUCACCAGUGCCCCGGUCUCUCUCGUCGCCUUCAUCUUCCUCCUCUCGCUGCUGCCCAUCCCGCUGCCGCUCCUCGCCCUGCGCCUCCACCGGCACCACCGUGAAGCUCGUCGGCAUGCUGCAGACGGCCCCAGACCCGCUGGCGCCUCCUCCCAGGGCAGCGGGCAGGGUGAGUCGGGCGCUGCCGCCUCCCUCACGUGAGAGCCAUUUCCUCACGCAGCGGGGGGGCGGUGGCCGGCACCGCGCCACUUCCCCCUCACCGCUUGCCUGAUGGCGCUGCGGCCGGAACUCCGAAGGGAGGGGCACGGGCCCCGGGGCAUCCCCUCUUCCUCAAACCUUGGCUUACAGUUAUCCUUAAAGCGCUAAGACCACCAGGCUACUGCUCCUCUGAUCCCACCAGACAGAAACUGCUUUCCAAACGAAACCAGAGCCAGGCUGUAGGGCCUUAAUCCUCCAGAUCACUGAAGGGAUGACAGUAUCCAAAAGGCCUAAGCAGGGGAUUUGUGAUCACCUUUUGGACAAGUGGAGAAAAUUCACUGUGUGCCUUUGGACUACCAGGACAUAAAGACAGCUCCCAGAAAUCUGCUUUCCUACACAGCAGCCAUGCUUUGCAGUAGACAGGUGAAGGUCCUGGGAUUCCGGCCAGAGUCAGCAUUUAAACUCUGACCAGCAGUGAUGCAGAUUCAAAGAGUCAGUGGAUGAGCAGUGUAUCAAAUUAAAUAUUAAUGAUACUAGUGAUGAGAUAUAGCUCUUGGUUACCUACAACUUCCAACUCAAAGGAGGUCAUAGCAUCUCCACUCCAAAAGUAGAGAAAACAGAUUUAAAAGCAAAGGACAUUUUUCUUGUUUCUUGUUCUUCUAGCAAGUGCUAGAAUAAACCAGAAAGACUAUUCAUUCAGUCUGUAUCUGUGUCUUUUGGAAGAGGACUGGUAGUUUUGUGGCUCCUAUACUUCAUUGGGAUGGAAGAUGUAUAUGUAACACUGCAGUCUGUCCCACAGCAUAAAGGUCUUCAGAGAAAGGAGUAGGCAAAUUAUUCUGGCCAUCAAAAGUGGCAGUGAGCUGGCAGAUGUGGAGAUGAUUGGUUUGAAAAACAGCAUUUACUGAACCAGAUUUCAGUGAAAAACAGAAUUCCCUGAAAAACAGAAUUCACAAUCCCUCCUCUUUGUUUUUCUUACUGUAUUUGGCUUGAGCUACGACUUUUGUACUUCUACACUUUUGGCAUACUGAUACUUUUCAUAGGUCUUAAAUGCCUUAUUCUCAUCAUCUUUUUCUUUUCUCAAUACCAUCAUUUUCUGCUUUCGUCCUGUGGUUCCUGACUUUGGAUUGGUGGAUACUGUCAUUAUUUGCAUGUUUUGGACUACAUAAGUGAUUAAUUGAAUAAAGCAUUAGAUCAAACAUGGAAAAA